UACGGGGGGAGCAAGCGUUGUUCGGAUUUACUGGGCGUAAAGGGCGCGUAGGCGGUCAGCACAAGUCAGUUGUGAAAUCUCCGGGCUUAACUCGGAAAGGUCAACUGAUACUGUGCGACUAGAGUGCGGAAGGGGCAACUGGAAUCCUCGGUGUAGCGGUGAAAUGCGUAGAUAUCGAGAGGAACACCUGCGGCGAAGGCGGCUCACUGGCCCGGUACUGACGCUGAGGUGCGAAAGCGUGGGGAGCAAACAGG
rnacentral:rRNA from 1 species